rnacentral:rRNA from 1 species
CCUACGGGGUGCAGCAGUGGGGAAUAUUGCACAAUGGGCGCAAGCCUGAUGCAGCCAUGCCGCGUGUGUGAAGAAGGUCUUCGGAUUGUAAAGCACUCUCGACGGGGACGAUGAUGACGGUACCCGUAGAAGAAGCCCCGGCUGACUUCGUGCCAGCAGCCGCGGUAAUACGAAGGGGGCUAGCGUUGCUCGGAAUGACUGGGCGUAAAGGGCGCGUAGGCGGUUUAUGCAGUCAGAUGUGAAAUCCCCGGGCUUAACCUGGGAACUGCAUUUGAGACGCAUAGACUAGAGGUCGAGAGAGGGUUGUGGAAUUCCCAGUGUAGAGGUGAAAUUCGUAGAUAUUCGGAGGAACACCAGUGGCGAAGGCGGCUUACUGGUCUGCAACUGACGCCGAGGCGCGAAAGCGUGGGGAGCAAACAGGAUUAGAUACCCCGGUAGUC